GGGACUCAGCUGCCUCUCUCCUUUUAUAUACACAGAGAAAAUUAGCAUGGCCCCUGCACAAGGAUGACAUGCAAAUUCGCGAAGCGGUCCAUAUUGUC
rnacentral:snRNA from 1 species